UAGACGUCUGUUCGUCCCUCCAUGGAAAUGCCUCCCCAGACCAUCACUGACCCACCACCGAACCGAAAACCGAAAAAUCUAUCUUCCUCUGAAGGCGUUCUUUGCUCCGGGCAGCAGCAGCAGGGCCAUCGUCCUGCCGGGGAGAGCGCUGCUCUAAUUCGGAACAAACCUUUUAUACCUUGCCGUAUGUGCGUUAAGUCACCUACCAGUUUUUCCAUUAGGUCAUAUGUUGUCCUCAUAUGACUCAUAUGCUUCUGAAAUAGACUGCAGGUGCAUCCUGUCCGGCCUCAACCGGAUGAGGUGACCUCUGGGUCAGGCUCAUGAGUCAUCUGCAGUCCUCCACCAAGUAACAUCACUAUUAACGUUACAUCCUGCCUGGGCCUCAACUGGAUGAGAUGACCUCCGGGUCAGACUCAUGCGUGGGACCCAAGACUUCCACCAAGUAGUAUCACUAUUAACGUUACAUCCUGUCUGGGCCUCAACCGGAUGAGGUGACCUCGGGGUCAGACUCAUGCGUGGGACCCAAGCCUUCCAUCAAUUAGUCAUCCCUUGCUGUCUCUUUGGUCUCACUCAACCCUCAAUACAUUAAUGUGUAAAUGGAACUACAAUGUUUAAUACAUGUUGGAAAUCGAUUAAACAUUGCAACA